CCGAACCAGAGCCGUAGAAACGACCGAUCGAACGUCAAACAGAAAAUAUAUCCAAACGUCUUCUUGUACAUUGAGGAGUAUGAGGUCUCUGCGGAACAAAAUUGGGCGUUUCUGUAUUUGUGGGUGUUUUCAAACUGUUUGAUAGUAGUCCAACGGUCUACUAUAGGUCUACAAUACGUUAUCAAGUUUCAGGACCUUUUUCUGUCGCGUGAGCGAUCGGAUUGGAGUCACCAUGGAAACGGGGCGGCAACUCAACCAACUGACAAGUGACAAGCAGGAGCGUGGUCUGUCACUGUUAUUUUCACUGCUUUCAGGGCAGUUUGUGAAGACGAGAUGCUGUGACAACCUGGACAGAAAUCGGUUCCAGAUCCACCUUCAACAGCAGACUUCUCAUAUGGAUUGCUGUCUACUAGCAUAUUAUUUGUUUGCUUCAGAAUUAGGUGCAUGCAGACAAUUGUUUAUAACCUUAUUUCUUUCUGGUGUUGUGUCGAAUUCUGUGACCCACCAAAUCAUAUGACUAUAGGCAUUGCAUUGACCUAAUCUGACCUUUUACUAAACCCAACCCUAAUCCUACCCUUUUGAUAAUUAACCAUGGUUUUAUAUAUUUAUAGUAAAACCAUGUGUUUUUUUUUUUGUUUUUUUUUUUGGCGUAUUGAUUACCAUUUGUAUAAUCAUACAAAUACCAUAGUUAUAACUGUUUUUGUAGCAAAACCAUGGUUCAUUUGUGGGAACCAUGGAAUUACUACAAUGACUAAAUUUUUUUGCUUUUAAUCAUGGUAAAACCAUGGUUGAUUUCCAUAACCUACCCUCAUAACCUACUAGGGUCACAUAAUUUAGUGUGUUACAGAAUUCGGCAUUAUAACUGUUUGGAUCAGCACUUAAAGAGUUAGUUUACCCAAAAAUGAAAAUAAUAUCAUUAAUUACUCACCCUCGUGUCAGUCUACACCUGUAAGACCUUCAUUGAUCUUCGGAACACAAAUUAAAAUAUUUUUGCUGAAAUCCGAUGGCUCAGUGAGGCCUCCAUUGCCAGCAAGAAUUAGUUCACUUUUUGAAUGACAAUGUCCUGAUAAUUUACUCACCCCCAUGUCAUCCAAGAUGUUCAUGUCUUUCUUUCUUCGUUAGAAAAGAAAUUAAGGUUUUUGAUGAAAACAUUCCAGGAUUUUUCUCCUUAUAGUGGACUUCAGUGGACUCCAGAUGGUUGAAGGUCAAAAUUACAGUUUCAGUGCAGCUUUAAACUAUACCAGACGAGGAAUAAGGGUCUUAUCUAGGGAAACGAUCUGCCAUUUUUGUAAAAAUACAACUCUAUAUGCUUUAUAAACACAAAUGAUUGCCUUGCGAGUGUUUCCGUGUUCCGUAUUCUUCAAAAAGCUUGUCAAUAUCACAGCUCAUCAAAUAAUGUGGAUAAAUACACGUCAACGAUUAGGCUACUUAUACAAACAAAAUGAAAAAAAAAACAAAAAAAAACACACCAAAUACACAACAAUAGAUAAAUCACAAUAAUUUUUUUAAAAGUAGUCCAGGCUGCUUCACUAAAGAAGAAUACAAAGCAUGUUAGUUUAAUAUACUUGCACGAAGGACGAAAGCGUUCAACACUUAUUCAAACUUGUCGUACAGAUAAAUUGGGCAGAAUAAUCUUUAAAAACACUGUAAAUCAGCGGUUCAAAACCGCGACGUCCACAGCCAGUCGUAUCCUCGGUGAAACAGCAAUAUGAAACGGAUAUAUGAAAUCAGUCAAUGAAACAUGUAUAAAACACGUAUAUAAACCAGGUAUAAAACAGCAGCUAGCGCUUAGGCCGCACCUGAAAACAAAAACAACAAAUAGUAAAAACGUUUCAAAUGAUUUCCCCCUUCCCAAAAAGAACCCACGAUAAGAGUGUCUUACCUCCCAAGCAAGAUUCAAGCAAGAUCAUAGCGCGAUCCAGACAUUGCCUCCUCUCACGUGACUUUCCCCCCAUUCAUUCUCAAUUACAAAUACAAUUUGCGCCAGCCAUUCCUAUGAUAAAAUGUGCAACCCAUUUGAAUUCUAUUGAGAAUGUACUGUAGUAAAACACUAUGGAGAAAGUCAAACAUGAUCUAAAAACAGCCACUAAAAAGACUGAUGAAAAGAGAGGAAAAAAUUAUGAUGAUCCUGCAAGCUUUUUAAAUUGCACCUUUACUAGUAUUUAUCAUAUUCUAUUGUAUUUAUUGUGGCACAUUUUAACAAACUUGUUGAAGAAUUUAUAAUAUAUAAUCUGUUUAGGGAAUAGAUUUGAAAAAGAAAGAAAAAAAAUUAACAUUGGCCUAAGCAUGCAAUGAGGAGCCAUCAAUGGUCUACCUGUAGUUAGCUAUAUCCUUAUUGUAAAUGUAGCAAGUCUAAAGAGUGUUUUAUGUUUUAUUCAAGUGUAAUCUAAGUGCAUGUAUGUUCUUUUCCUAUGUUAUGUGUUCUGAUUGUGUGGGGCUUUAAUGGGUGGGGUGUUCUUCUGAAGAAAGAGCCUGUGCAGUGAUGUGUGGAUAGGACAACUUUUCUGGGGGAAAAGUUCCAGAAGUUUGUUUGCUGUCUGUGAGGCAGGAGCAUUGGCCAAACAGGUGCUCACGUUAAUAAAGGAGCCUAAACCAUUUAAGUGAGUCUAUCAUUUUCUCUGUUCGCUACACUGGUGUCAGAAGUGAACUGACUGAAUCCAGUUAGUCUACGGGAUUGCUGUCAUUAUCGUCCCUGCAACACGAUUGUUCGAGCCAGAAGCAAGCCGGAUGUUUCGUGAGGUUUUGUCUGCUUUGGCGUGGACUUCUGAUCAAUUUGCAACAGAGGAAGACUUUCUGGAAUCACAUAAGGCUCGUGUGAAGGAGGCUACUAGGAGAAUGGCUGCAGACACCAGGCUUUUGAGCCGAGUGCCACAGAGUACUGCCAAACUUUCAUGAGGACAACAAACAGACAUGGCGGCGCCUAGGGAACCGUGCUGUCUUCAGAUAUAAAUAGGCCACGGAGCUGUGCUGCUUUCUGACAUGAAUGAAAAUGGCGGCUUCCACGCUGCUGUGCCUACGGUGUGUGGUAGGUUUUCCCCUACGCACCUGACUUAAGUUAAACCGGGUGUCCCAGACACCUUUGAAUUUAUACUCUACUAAGCAUACUUCAAUACCUGUUUGAGUCGGCCGAUGUCUCGGCCUGUUUGGGCACUAUUACCUGGUAAUAAGCUCUUUAGUGCUCCUCCACUAAACACUAUCACUUGAGUAUAUAAGUAAGAUCUCUAGUGCCUAGUCUGCUGCACAGCCUAAAAACCAAACAGACUCCAGACUAUGCCUUAGAAUAUGCUUUAAUCACGGCCGGAGGACCUCGUAUCAAUCACAGAGAAUCCCACCACCAAGAAGAAUACAACAGUUUAUAUAGGAUAAGAGCAUGGUAAAGAAUUCUACAAUAUGAUUGGUUCUUCAUAUGUCAAACCCUCAUGUUACUAGGUAAAGCAAGAUCUGCCCAAAUCAUGUGUUUAUUAGUUCGUUGGUUACUCAAUAUCAUGGGGUUAUUAUAGUUAGAUGGUUGUCUAGCUGUCCCUAAGUGUCAUUUCCAUUUUUCUUAUUUUUGGACAUGAUUCACACACACACACUGACUUAGGCCCAUGCAAGGUUUGAGGACAUUUAGGUUUCAAAAGCAUAUAAAUGUCAUUCCUGCAAGGAAAAAGAAAUGUUAGUUAUGAUUAAUUAAAAAAAUUCCAUCACAGGUGGCAGUUAAAACCCCCAAAUUCUCAGGUAAAGCUGAUUGGGAAGCAUUUCAUGAACAGUUUGGACUGUUGGCUCAUGCUGGAAACCACAAAGCCCACAUGCCACCGUCAGUUCAAGGGGAGCUUGCGAAGGACCAAUUCAAUCAGGCCCUUACCCCUGUGGAGCUCCGUAGACAGACAAACCUGGCCCACCCUCAAACCCUGCAGGAUGCCUUGGAGAUGGCGUUGGAGAGGGAGAUUAUUUGGGGAACUUGCAUGUCGGAUGAGAGACAGCGAGAUACUGUGUCGUUGAGGUCUACUGAUGCGGUGGAGGGGCUAAGCGAAAGGACCAGCCUUGGAUUCCGAAGUCAAUGAAUUGAUCAGAGCUGUGGCACUGCAACCUGAUCAACGGCCCCGCACACGACCAAGGGUUUGUUGGGGUUGUGGGCAGACUGGACAUUUAGUUUGUCAGUGUUCGAAGUUAGAUGGUAACCAGGGAAACGGGACGAGGUCCGCAUGAUCAGGGCCAUGCGGACCCCCAACACUCAUCCCCAAUGUCAUCACCAGCAGGAGUCUCAAGAGAUGGACAAGGGGAAGGCAAUCAAGGACUGUCGGGGGAGGGUGAAUGUGGGCCAGAAGAGUCUGUGGUAGUGGUGGGAUGAACAUGCGACUACGCACAGUGACGGGUGAACUGGUGCCAAUGAAGGGUAAAGGAGUGGUUGUGCUGACUGUAGGGGGAAAGUCAUUACAUCAUUCAGUGUGGGUGGCUGCAGUCCAGGACCCUUGUAUUCUUGGUCUUGACUUCCUUAGAAGUGCAGGUUGCCAAUUAGACCUGAGAGAGGGCCUGCUCCAUUUUGAAUGGGGUCCUGAGGUUGUCAUGUCCACUGAAAAUAACAUUGAUAUGUCUUUUACAGGUCUUCUGGAUGCAUCAGCUUCUCCUGAGGACCCUAGUUUGGAGCACCAUACAUUGCUCUUGCAAACAUCUUCCAUCUUCCCUGGGGUGGCCACACAGUCCCCUUUAAAGUCACCCUCGAGCCUCUCCAGCAGGUAUGGGCAUGAGAAUGGUGUUCCAUUUUUGCCUCUUGAGGAGCGGGAGGCGUUGUUUGCUUGGAGGGAGUUGUGGCUGAAGAAUUGUGAAGAAUUGUCAGCGGGGGCAGUUUUGGGAUUUGUUAGUUAAUGGCACGAUGGAAGAGAGGGUGCAGGCGGUUAGCAACUGGCCCACUCCUACAACCUCGCAGCAGCUCAGAAGUUUUUUUGGGGUUGGCCUUAAUAUUACAGGAGGUUUGUGCUUGGUUUUUCAGCAUUGUAGACCCACUUUUCCACCUACUGAAGAAAGAUAAGUCCUUCACUUGGACUGAGGAGUGUCAAAACUCGUUUGCUGCCCUGAAACAGGCUCUGGUCACCGCCCCUGUAUUGGACCCCCCUGACCUGUCACCAGAUGGGAACUUGUUGCUGUGCUUUUUGCAGUCCGACACCUUUUUUAGUAUUACCUGUGCGGGCUGCCUUUCACUGUACGCACUGAUCAUGCAGCUCUCCAAUGGCUAAUGUCAUUCAAAGAGCCAGAGGGCCAGCUGGUACGCUGGAUUGAGGAACUUCAGGCAUACAACAUGAGGGUAGUACACCGUUCAGGGUCAGGCCAUGCAAACGCAGAUGCUCUUUCUCGUCGGCCAUGGUUAGCCGACCGGUGUUUGUACUGUGACAAAAGGGAGGACAGGGACACAGAGCUGGAGAACCCGGAUGCCAGUGGUGCUUCUGUGCAAGCGUGGUGAUACGCCAGCGUGUUUGACUGUGGGGACAGUGGGAGUAGAGGACUGGAGGCGGCUGCAAGAGGAAGAUGUGGACCUACAGCCAGUAAUCCAGUGGGUCCAAACUCAGCAGCGACUUCUGUGGGAGAAAGUGGCCGUUUUCUCUUUAUCCACAAAAUCUUAUAGGCCAAAUUCAAGGACCUGCGCCUUGAGACUGGGUGUUAGAGAGGGAGUGGAAAGACCCCGCCACCGUAGAGGGGAGGUGGCAGGUGGUAGUGCAGAGGUCACGGGAAGGGGGUUAUCAGGGCUGGUAGUGGUUUUUGUUUUC